rnacentral:rRNA from 1 species
GUUGCCGUUAAAAGCUCGUAGUCGAACUUCGGCCCCUGCUGGCCGGUCCGCCUUCUUGGUGUGUACUUGCUCAGCGGGGGCUUACCUCCUGGUGAGCGGCGAUGCCCUUCACUGGGUGUCGUCGGGAACCAGGACAUUUACUUUGAGAAAAUUAGAGUGUUCAAAGCAGGCCUACGCCCGAAUACAUUAGCAUGGAAUAAUAAAAUAGGACGCGCGUUCCCAUUUUGUUGGUUUCUGAGAUCGCCGUAAUGAUUAAUAGGGAUAGUUGGGGGCAUUUGUAUUCCGUCGUCAGAGGUGAAAUUCUUGGAUUGCCGGAAGACAAACUACUGCGAAAGCAUUUGCCAAGGAUGUUUUCAUUGAUCAAGAACGAAGGAAGGGGGAUCGAAAACGAUUAGAUACCGUUGUAGUCUCUUCUGUAAACUAUGCCAAUUGGGGAUUGGUACAGGAUUUUUAAUGACUGUAUCAGCACCCGAAGAGAAAUCUUUAAAUGAGGUUCGGGGGGGAGUAUGGUCGCAAGGCUGAAACUUAAAGGAAUUGACGGAAGGGCACCACCAGGUGUGGAGCCUGCGGCUUAAUUUGACUCAACACGGGGAAACUCACCAGGUCCAGACACAAAAAGGAUUGACAGAUUGAUAGCUCUUUCUUGAUCUUGUGGUUGGUGGUGCAUGGCCGUUCUUAGUUGGUGGAGUGAUUUGUCUGGUUAAUUCCGAUAACGAACGAGACCUUAACCUGCUAAAUAGACCAGCCGGCUUUGGCUGGCUGCUGUCUUCUUAGAGGACUAUCAGCGUUUAGCUGAUGGAGUUUGAGCAUAACAGUCUGUGAUGCCCUUAGAUGUCUGGGCGCACGCGCGCUACACUGAC